CCCUGGUUGAUCCUGCCAGUAGUUAUAUGCUUGUCUCAAAGAUUAAGCCAUGCAUGUCUCAGUGCAAGCCGUAUUAAGGCGAUACCGCGAAUGGCUCAAUAUAUCAGUUUUGGUUCCUUAGAUCUUACUCAGUUACUUGGAUAACUGUGGUAAUUCUAGAGCUAAUACAUGCAAUCAGAACUCUGACCAGUGAUGGGAUGAGUGCUUUUAUUAGAUCAAAACCAAUCGACGGAGGGCCUCGCGUCCGAAGUCGUUAAUUUUGAUGAAUCUGGAUAACUUUUGCCGAUCGCAUGGUCCAGUACCGGCGACGCAUCUUUCAAAUGUCUGCCUUAUCAACUUUCGAUGGUAGUUUCUGCGACUACCAUGGUUGUCACGGGUAACGGGGAAUCAGGGUUCGAUUCCGGAGAGGGAGCCUGAGAAACGGCUACCACAUCCAAGGAAGGCAGCAGGCGCGCAAAUUACCCACUCCCGGCACGGGGAGGUAGUGACGAAAAAUAACGAUACGGGACUCUUACGAGGCCUCGUAAUCGGAAUGAGUACACUUUAAAUAUUUUAACGAGGAACAAUUGGAGGGCAAGUCUGGUGCCAGCAGCCGCGGUAAUUCCAGCUCCAAUAGCGUAUACUAAAAUUGUUGCGGUUAAAAAGCUCGUAGUUGCAUUUGUGCGCCGCGCUGUCGGUGCACCGCAUCCGCGGUGAUACUGACACGUCUGCGGAGCAUAUCGUCGGUGAGCCGUCGGUUAAACGUCGGUUCAAUAUCAAAAUCCUAUCGCGGUGCUCUUCAAUGAGUGUCGAGGUGGGCCGACAAUUUUACUUUGAACAAAUUAGAGUGCUCAAAGCGGGCUCAAAAUGCUGCUUGAAUAUUUCGUGCAUGGAAUAAUAGAAUAUGAUCUCGGUUCUAUUUUGUUGGUUUUCAGAACUCCGAGGUAAUGAUUAAUAGGGAUAACUGGGGGCAUUCGUAUUGCGACGUUAGAGGUGAAAUUCUUGGAUCGUCGCAAGACGAACAUCAGCGAAAGCAUUUGCCAAAGGUGUUUUCAUCAAUCAAGAACGAAAGUUAGAGGUUCGAAGGCGAUUAGAUACCGCCCUAGUUCUAACCGUAAAUAUGUCAUCUAGCGAUCCGCCGACGUUACUACAAUGGCUCGGCGGGCAGCUUCCGGGAAACCAAAGAUUUUGGACUCCGGGGGAGUAUGGUUGCAAAGCUGAAACUUAAAGGAAUUGACGGAAGGGCACCACCAGGAGUGGAGCCUGCGGCUUAAUUUGACUCAACACGGGAAAUCUCACCAGGCCCGGACACCGGAAGGAUUGACAGAUUAACAGCUCUUUCUUGAUUCGGUGGGUGGUGGUGCAUGGCCGUUCUUAGUUGGUGGAGCGAUUUGUCUGGUUAAUUCCGGUAACGAACGAGACUAAAUAAAGCCAUUAUUUAUUUUUAUUUAGGUACCCAUAUCAGGAGAUCGUGGUGGCUAAAGAUUCCAAAAAGAAUUCUUCAGAGGAUCGCCAAUUUUGAUACGAUUAUCAUUUUUUACAUAAUUUACCUAAUUGAUACAUUUGCAUAUCCCAUGCAUUUCAAUCGGACUCGGACACACUUGGAAUAUUCAAAUUACCAUUUCAAGCUGGAAUUAAUUCUGCAAUUUGUAACGAAAGAGACAAUCUAAUCGUUUCAGCACGAUGCGACGCUUUGUACCAAACUAGAAAAUAAAAUCCCCAUUGAGCCAAGUGCUAGAAAUA
rnacentral:rRNA from 1 species